CGAGAAAAUAACAACAGUGCUGGCGGCUCGCACACGAAUCAGAAUCUAAAGGUGUAGUCUAUAAAUCGAAACUUUUGUCCGUGAGGUAGGGAAGGGGGAAGGAGUGCGAGAGUAUUGGAUUUGGAAUUUUCAGGCGAGGUUGCGCGAGGCUCUCUGGCAUUCGCUUGAGAAUAUGUUGGCUGCACCUGUUGAGAGAACUUAACUGGAAGAAGAGACGGGGGGAAAUGAUAUCCACGUGCGGUUUGUCUUCACGCAGCAGGAGGCGCUGGUGUGAGCAUCAUUUCGCCAAGCAUUUAUCAAGUCGAUGGUCUCUUUCUAAAAAACGACAGCUAAAAGAGGCUCUAACACUUGCAUGAAAAGGUCGAUUACGUCGUUUUGCGAACAAGUCCGCUUUGUGAACCUUUAAGCGGGGUAAUCAAAGAUCAAACCAUUCGAUAAGAUUCCAGCUUUCCAAUUGUUUUGUAUAUGAAUUUUUUUAAGUCAAAAGUUGUUCGGUAUCUCCUAUGUCAUUCUCUUUGUAUCUAGAAUUUUGUUUCCAAUGGACCAUUUGGAUAUCGGUAAUCUUUCAUGGUCUUGCUUCAGUUAGGCAUAUUUAUACGCUAUAACAUGAAUGGUGCCGUAUGCUCGAUUGUAGAUAGUCAAAAUGAAGAUCUAACCACCUCGUCCUUUCGUCCCUUAGGAUUUUCUUUUGUUUUCAUGUGUUAGAUUUGCAUUGAAUGCACAGGGAUGGUAGGUAACAACUAACUUUUCAGAUCAAAACAAGCCAACUCAAACUCAACAGUAGCCAUCAUUAAAGCCGCAUUUUGCCGUUGGAAGUUGUAGUCAAAAUAGGACUGGAUAGACUACUGGGAUAUAAAAUAUUUUGCUAUGUCUUAUCUACUAUUUGGUUAAUAGUAAUAAUAAAAUUGGAUAGUUGCAUAUUAUAUUAUGUCAAUUAUUUAGUACCGUUGACCCCUAAAUUUUUGGGGUUGAUUUAAAAAAAAAACAUAGCAUAUAGUUUAGAAACAUUUUAUUUUCAUUUUGUUUUAUUUUAUUUUAGACCGCCGGUGAAGAGAAGAUUUUUUACAUAUUCCGUUCAAGUUUUUCGUAUUUUUAGGCAAUAUACACUAAAUGAUGUAUUUUUGAGCAAAAAGAAAAAUUUUAGAUAGAAUAUAUGAAAAAUACAAAAGAAAAUAUCACGUGUGGUGCAAUGAUAUAUUCAGAAAAUUAUGCACGAGUAAAAUUGGAAACAAAAUACACUUCAAAAAUCUAAAUUUAUUGUGCACGUACGGACGAGGAGGGGAGGAAUUUCGAAAAAAUUUGGAGCAAAAGGAGGGCCUUCUUCGGUUUUAGGAGAGAGAGAGAAAAAAAAAAAAGAAAGGGAAAAGAAGAGAAGAGACGUGAGCGGCAGAGAGUGAACAGUGAGGUUGAUGUGAGGAGAGAAAAGAAAAAGAAAAUAAGAACCACUGUUCUUCUUCUUCGUAGGUUUUGCCUCCGGUGUUCCUCUGCUGCCCGAGCUACCGCGUCGUCGCAGCCGCACCACCGCGCCUCCACUUCCGCCGGCCACCGUUGCUCGUUGCUCCACCCGCGGCGACGCGACGCCAGCAGUCCCGACGCUAACCUGAAGCUCCGCCAAGCCGCGACCCGAUCCCUCGCUCCUCCGCAGCAGAUCUACCCCGAGAUGCCGCGACGCUGCUAUAGCCCCUGACCUGAGCACGAUUCGCACUGCCCGAGACGAUCCACAGGAGCCUGCGCCCCGAUCCGAUUCUCUCACCGGACGUCGCGCCCUACAGCCAGAUCCAGACGCCGAAGCUUCUCGCCGCAGCUGCCCGAGGCCUCCUGCCGUCCCUGCAGCGCCCCACCGUUCGAAGCCUGUGACCCGACGACCCGCGAUCCACGAUCCGUGCUCCAGCUCCGCCAACCCUCGUUGCCCCGCGCCGGACGUGCUGCUCGUCGUGCCCUCGCCGGAACCCUUCGCCAGAGCCCCGAACCGGUGGUCAAGAUUUUUUUAAUUAUUAAAAAAAAGAAAAAAUUGAAUUAGGUAGAUUUGCUUUAUUUUAUUAGGCUGGUUUAUUUUAUUUUUUAUAUCUUGGUUUCUUUGUUUGAAAUAUUUCUCCAUGCAUAAUUGGAAAUCUCAAUAUAUUACCUGAUUUGCAACCUCGCAACCGUGCCAGGGUUUUUUUUUUUUUUUAAUUUCAUCUAUAAGGCUUUCGAUGAAAUAAUAAUUAAUCAAGUGGGAAUAAAAUUGAUAUUUUGAUCUUUAAGGCUUAAGAUCAAUUUAUCGAUUUUACUAGCGAAAUAUUAUUUUUUGAUCUGAACGAUGUGUGAUAUUUUUUUGGGUAAUUUUGAAUGGACUUGAUUGCUUUAUUUAUCUUGAAAUAUGUCUGAGUUAGAAUAUUACAUGUUUUAGGGUUAUUUGCAUAUUUAGGCUAAGCAUUAUGUUUAUAAUGAAUUUUCGAAAAUAAAAAAAAAUAAAAAAAUCAAAUCAAUCAAUUUAGGUUGCUGGAUUUUUAAUUUGGAUUGCAUGUUUAAUUAUUUGACAAUUAUUAAUUUCGAAAUGAAACAAAAACAACAAAAAAAAAAUCGUCAUAUACAUGUCAUGUAGAGUUAAAGAAUAUUUUGCACGUCAUUGCAUAUUAGGGUAAUGUUGCACUUAGUUUAAUUUUAGAUAAUAUUUUUCUUAAUUUAUUAUGUGUUUAAGUAUUUUCUUAAAUAAAUUGCAUUUUAGAAUUAUUUAGGUUAAGAUAAUAUUUUAGUUUAAAUUAGGAUUUGGCUCAACCUAAUUCCUAAUAUAAAUUAAAUAGGAUCUUAAUCUAGUUAGGUAAUUUUCACAUUUUACCAAAUUUCAAAUUUCAUGAAAAAAUACUAAAAAAAAAUGUCAUAGGUUAAAUUAGUUUUAUUAUUUAGGAUAAAAUGCAUUCUUUUAGGAAAAAAAAUGUCAUGUGUACGUCAUUAGGGUUAGAUUCACUGAGGUGCAUGUCAUUUAGUAUUUUUGUUAGUUAUUUAGUAUUUUUGUUAGGCCCAUUUAAUUAGAAAUUACAUGUCAUUAGAAUUAGGUCAUUUAGUUAAUAUUGCAUUGCAUAUCGCAUGAUUUUCAUUAAUUAAGUGAAAACAAAAAAUUGUGUGUUAAUUAGAAACCAUAUCUAGGGUUGUUGAUGUUGAUUUUAAUUUAACAUUGCAGAUACUUUCGUUAUUUUGAGGUAAAUUUUUGCAAUUUAUUUAUUAUUAAUCUGGGUGUUAAAUUAGUGGAUUGCGCACCCACAUGAUCACAUCACAUGUUAGGGAGAUAAAUUUAAAAUCAAUCCAAAUUGCUUGCCAAACAUUUUUCAAAAUAAAAAAAAGGUACCAAAAGGGCAUUAGAGGAAUCUAGUGUAACCAAGUCCUCGUAUCUAUAGUCUCUAGUUCAUAAGAGUAAAGUAAAUCUCCCGUUAUUUUACUUGGGUUUCUAAUCGACCCAUCAAAAAUAGAUUAGUGGUGACUCCUAAUUGAAAAUCAAUGUUCAUAAGAGUAAAGUAAAUCUCCCGAAUUAGUAAGGGUUUGAGAGAGCCCGAGUUAAGUCUAGGCUUAACAAUCCAUUCACAUCCAAAAAAUUUGGUCACGACAAGUACAAACAUAAGUCGCGAAUUAGUAAGGGUUUGAGAGAGCCCGAGUUAAGUCUAGGCUUAACAAUCCAUUCACAUCCAAAAAAUUUGGUCACGACAAGUACAAACUUGAAAAUACAUAAAUGGAAAUUGUAAGAAUCUUUCACAGUUCAUAGUUUAAAAAACACAAAUGUACAGACGAAAAUAACUUCCAUCAAUCAUCAUGAUUAUUGUACUAUCUAAAUAUGAAAUAGCGAAAAAGCUCAUUGCAACAUUCUAGAUCCACACAUUCAACUAUAAUAAGAAAUAAAUAAGCUCCAAUAACAUUGACACAUUACAUCUACUAGCAAAUGCCAAAUCUAGUAGGAAAGGAAACACAAUCAUUCAACUUUGUGACUCCAAAAAGUAUAGUGCUUUGACUCUUUUGCCACUUUUGUGCACCUUCAACUUGAACCAUAAAGUUAAGGAGCUGAAUGAGUUUCGACUCCCUUGCUGCUUUCAUUGACUUUUAACGUGAACUAAAGAGUUAUGUAGGAAAAUGAGCUUGAACUCUCUCGUCAUCUUCAGGGAGCUUUGACAUGAUCCAAAAACUAUGAAAGAAUUGUGAAGUUUCAACAAAACUCAGAGAUACAAAAGAGAAGGAGAUGGAGAGCAUAUAUCUUUCACUGAUAUUCAUCUUCGAUUUUUAUUAAGAGGAGACAAGUUUGUGGUGAUUCCAGACAAAUGUUGUAUCAAUAGAACACAAAAAACACAUAUACUUCAAUGGAAUUUUAUCAACGAUAUGAUGAUAUAAAAAGUUUUGCUGAAAUUUUAUUGACAACAAAGCGCGCUGAUAAAUACACAACAUCAAAAUUUAAUCAACGACGAAGAUCUAAAGUCCGACUAGCAACCAGAUUUGGAGCUUAAACUCCAUUUGUUUCGCGAAAAAUAUUUUCUGAAAAAUGAAUUAGUUGGAGAAACCAUUUUUCAUGAAUGGAAAAAAAAAGUCUUCUAAGAUAGCGGAAAGUGGAAAACAUUUUCCCCAAUUACUUGCUCUUAUCUCAUACUCAUGUUAACCUUUUUAUCUUUUUUUUUUCUAAAUAAAAAAUUGAAUUUUUAAUUCUUUUUCAUUUCCUUUUUAUUUUUUUAAAGUUCUGUCUUGGUCAUUUACUAGCCACGAUGAUCGUUGGCGACCGGCUACAAGCGAGCCUCGAGCUUGAGCCUAGCUUGCCACUUACCUGAUAGAUGGCGAGCCAAGCGAGUAGUGAGCUCGGGCCUCCUCAGAUAGGCGAGCAUGAGCCUUUGGCUUGUAGAUCUAGCGAGCGGUGAGCUCUAGCUCGUUUGCCGACGUUGAGUGAGCUCAAGCUCACCUUCAAUUGGUUGUCGAUCGUCAUCGUGGUCAGCAAUUGGCUGAAGAAGAGGAAGAAAAAAAUAAAGAAAAGAAAAAGAAAAUAAGAAUAAAAAUAUAAAAUAGUUUAAAAAUCAAUUUUUAAAUAUGAAAAAUAAUUAAAUUAUAUUUUAAAAAAUAAAAAUAAUAAAAAAUAUUGAAAAGGACUGCAUGAGAUAAAAAAUGUUCCUUACUGAACAACGUAAAAUACCGAACACCAAAAAGUAAUUACAUUUUUUUGAAAAAUGACUUUUUGGAAAAUAUUUUUCAGAAACGUUACAUUUUUUGCGAAACGAAUAGAGCCUUAGAUAGGGAGAAGAUGAAUCCAAAUCCCGCAAACGAAGAACAUCUCCCGAUCAUAGACCAUCUCCCGAUAACCUUUGACUUUGGGCUCAUGUUGACCGGAAUCCGGAGUGACUAGUAUUGAGAGACGAAGAACACUAGAAAUGAGGGAAAGAUUGGAAUUUGAAAUAUUAUCUACUGAUCCUAAGAGAAAUUUUCGAGAACACUUUUUUGUCGGUCGAAAGAAAAUUUUCGAGAACGCUAAGAAGCCAAAGAAAGGAUGAGUUGCCUUGGACUCUAAGCUUAGCCAAUGCUAGCUUUGAGUCAAAGUGAUCCAUAAAUUUGUUACCAAAACACUACAAUUUUCGCUGGAAAGACAUUGAAGACCUAAAGUCCCUUCCGAAGCCACACGCAGUCGAACCUUGUUUUGUUAAAAAUAUGGAAAAAAAAUUAAAAUAUUCGUGGAGUGAUUAAGAAAUCUAUCGUCAAUGCACGACUAUUGUAACCAAAAAAAAAAAAAAACAAUAGGUAAUAACUUUUUAUGUUAGGUAUGCAAGAUCGAUAUAUAAAUAUAUGUUAAUGUAAUGUGAUCAAAUAUAGACACAAGUGGACAUUCAAAUAACAAAAGCCUGUCCCAUCAAAUUCAUAUUAAUGAGCCUAGCUUUAUUUGCUAGACAAUUGAGUCAGUUCUCUUCAUUGCCUUAUUCAAUCGCGUGGAGCCCAAUAUCGAGUGGGUAGAUCCCGAACUCAAGGAAUACCUAACUUAUUUCAUCAAUCAAGUAAGACAUAAGAUGAAAUUCUGAUCGAUGGCCUAAAAUGCUCUAUUUGUCCCAAGAGAACAUCAUAUAAGUGGGAUCAAUUUUUCACACAUGCACAAAGAGUACAAUACCGAUUUUCCCUCCUAACAUCGCAGGAAUGUUUCACUGUUUAUAUCUUCAAGGCAGUAGAAGCUGCGGCUUUCAUUUCGAGCAAAGCAUCCUCAAAGCACUUGGCCAGGAAAUCAGGGUCGGGGAUGAUGUCCUUGGCCACCAGAAUCUGCAUGUCCGCCCUCCCCGCAUAGCUCACCAUGUGCAUCGUGAGUGCCUGCAUAUACCGCAUCUCAAACACCCCACAUCAGUCCUGAUAAAGAUUUCAUUCCAGAUACCGCAGAAAAAGAAGGAAAAGAGAGAUGAUGAGGCGCGAGUAUUUUGGAGCCUUACGUGGGGUAAACUCGAGAUGUUCACCCUUAUGUACGUGAUGGGGUUGCCCACGGACGCGAUCUCCUCGUGCGGGCCGAACACGUUCGAGAUGCUGAACGUGGUGUUGCAGAAGAUCCUGUAGUUGAGCAGGCUCGAGGCCUGCAUCAGCAAAAACAAAUAUAGAUUGCGCGGUAGUCAGCAUAUUGUCGUUCUGUUUUCUGAAUUGCAGAAGCGCGGACUUAUCCUUACACGUGCUCCUAGAUAAGUCGUGGCCAUAUCCACGAUUUUGUAGGAGAAGUGAGCCUCCAGGGAUUUCUUCUUCCGGUCAAUCAUCGACUUGGCUUUUCUCACGUGUUCGAGAGGGUCGCCGCAGCUUCUGUGGUAGCGAACGGGGAGGAGGAGAAUCCCGAACUUGUUGCCCCACCGCAGUCCCGGGUCGCCUUCCAUCAAAUUGGUUAGUUCCUGGUUAAUACCAACACCACACUUCAAUUCAAUCAACUUCAGUUAAAAGGAAAAAAAAAAAAAAUUUGAGACUCGCCUGCAAUCCCUGUUGUUCUCGCAAGUUAACAGCUGCCACUCCCGUUAGUCGAGUCCCUUCGCGCACAGCUUACAAAGGCAAAUGAGCAUUUUAGUCACUCGAGAUUCAUCGCCCUUGAAUUGACAAAAAUGGAGUGAAUCGUCGGAAAUGCUAUUCCUUUUUUACCGUUGGGACAUCGGUGGUCCAAGUAUUUGAAGAAGCCGGCUGAUAUGAUCCCAAAAAGAACAUCGUUAAUGGUCUGCAUUUGCAGCAAUGAAUGAGAUUCAUCAUCUGGAAGUUGAGUACAUCAAAAUAUGCAGCAAUGAAUGAGAUUCAUCAUCUGGAAGCUGAGUACAUCAAAAUGCAUUUGUAAUCAUGAAAUACAAGAAAUCCCAGCUGAGAGAGUCGUGCACUCGCCAGAAUCAGCCAACCCUGGGGUCAUUCAAGCAAUCCCAGCCGGCCCUUGGAAUUGCCAACAAUGCUUGGGAUUUACUUCAAUUUGUCAUAGGUGUAUUAGUUUGGUUUUUUUGUGGUGUGAAUCCAAUUUAACAGAAACUAAUGCAGGGUACAUUUGUCACAAAUAUAUCAAUUUAAAGUUUUAAGUAGUUAAAAAAUUAGUUUGGAUAGAUUUAUCAUAGUUUGGGGUGUUUUUAGCCAAAAAAUUGGUUUUUGGUAAAUUUGUCGUAAUUGUAUUCGUUUGGAGUUCUUCGUAGUAUUAAUCCUUUUAAAUAUGAUUGUUUUGUGUUACUAAAAAAAUUAUAAAAAUGCCAUGUCUCCAUUACAUCAUUUAACUACGAUUUAUUGGCCCGACAUACUUUUUUUUAAUGAAAAUUUUAAUUUGAACAAAAAUAUUAAUAGGGAUCACAUUGAAAAAAAAAAGGAUUGUGCAUAAAGUAAAGAUUGAACAUAUUAGAAAAGGGGAUAUGUUUACUAAAAAUCUUAAAAUUUAUCAUAAAUGUGCAAUUGAAUCCUCCUACUUACAAAAAGUGCAAUCAAGUCUUAAAAUUCUUCAAAUUAGUAUAAUUGAGAGAGAGAGAGAGAGAGAGAAUAGGAAAGUAGCAUGAGAAUAAAGUAGAAUUAACAGACCUUAGUAAGAUCUCCGCAUAAAAGGCAAAAGGGCGUCCAAAUCCUGGAAAGAGAUCUUUCUUUGUAUAGAACUCUCCAGUCACCAUGGCUGAAACCUUGCACACAGGAUUAUGAUGUUCACAUUGAUGCCAUUGACAGACAAUAUGAAAGAAAAAGAAAAGGAAAUAAAAGAACAAAUUGGGAGAAACCGACUUUAUCCCCCUCGUCAAAGUGGCGAGUCACCUUGCGCUCUAAGACAUCUGGAAACAUACCAACCUGGAAAGCGACAAAAAAGCAAAAAAUGAAUCAAAUGCAUUCAGUGUAAAGUGAAUGCUAACUUACUUUCUUAUUUGGUUACCUUUUUCAAAAGAUAUGCCUCAAUAUUCUUCAUCGGAGAUUUUGCAAAAUCACCUUUGUUGUAAAGUUCCUUACCAGCCUCAGAUGAAGCAUGGUAGAGUUCAUCACUACUCCUCUGUGAAUUGGCAUCUUCUUCAACAAGAAUCCUAUGUAUAUACUGAUCAACCUGUUUUGCAGAAGCUAAAAAAGCUAAGCUUCUUUCACCAACUGCAAACAAUUAUGGUAAAGGGGAAGACCAAGAGCUCAACUCAUGGACUGCUUUGCAUGCACAUAGCACCGAUAAGAAGAAGUGUAUAACCCUGAGAUGCUGGAGACAACAUGGUGACCAAUAUGUUUAUGGAUAAAGUGAAUCUUGCAGCUCAGUGGAUUACAUUCUUAGCUAAUAGCCACACGCCAUGCUUGCGGACUUCAACAACCGGCAUCUCCAUCCUGUGAUGAAUAGCAAAGAGUUGCAGAUAAUUUAAGGGGUAAGACCUACAAUUAACUUUCUAAUGUCGACCACAGUUACAGUCUCUUACCCUGGUGGGGCUGUUGGCCACCUCAGCAACCCAGUAACAUCACCUUAUUCAGACCAAUAGUUCCAUCAUUUAAAAAGAAAAGAAACUGAUGAUGCUUCAUGAGUUGCUAGCCCUAGACACAAAGUACUCACUUUUAAAACAAACUACAUAUGCUACCUGAAAGAUUUUGCGCCAGAGGAAUGACUAGGGGGAUCAACCCUUGCCUAGAUCCUGGAGACACUAUCGUUUCACCUGCAAGCAAAUAGUUUAAUAAUUAGAAGGACAGGUCCUGUAAUGUCUCAAAACAGGGAAUAAAGAAAAUCAUUAGAUUUUAGUUGAUAUCUUUUAGCUGAAACACUGAUUUUGUGCAUUUUGACCAUUCUACGAUGUUAAUGAACUCUGUCCAACUUCAGGACAUGGGGUGGCUGGCAACAGAAAAGAGUAAUCAUCCCUUCCUAUGAUAAUUUUUUUUUAUGAGUACCUCUUCCUUAUAUAACUAGGAUGCUAGGAUGCUAGGCAGAAAGGAUAUCAACAAUUUCUUGCUCAAAGGUUGGUCAAUACAAAUGAAGAUAGCCAUGACAAGUUUCACUCCAGACAAAUCAUGCCCUAUAUUUGAAAUCAUCCUCUCCACAAAGCAUAAAAUACGAUGAACAGUGAGCAACGCAUCAUCAAUCCAAGGGAGCAAGGUUUGACUUAAAGCUACCUCUCGUUUGAAGCACUUUUAGCAAAUAAUGAAGAUGCUUAGGAGGCUCAGUGGCAGCCACAUCCUUGAUGAAUGAUAAAUGGCCUGCAUUUUGAUUGACAAAUUCCCAAGCAACUCAGCUUAAGGAUGAAAAGGAGCGAACAAUAAUAAUACAGAAAAUAAAAAACCAACGAUGGGAAGGGGAAAAAAAUUUCAUAACACGAGCUUAUCAUUUUCUAAAGCAUCGAUAUGUCACUGCAAACAUGUCAGUUUUCAAACCCAAUAGGAAAAAUGUUUAGCUCUGAGUACGCAAUCGCCUAAACCAAAUCUUUCAGAAAAUAUUUGAGCCCCGCCUCGAGAAGGAACCAUCAGCGAGCAUAUCAUACAUGCUAUAACUAAUGAAAGCUUAACCAUAGAGAUUAGAACUUCAGCUUCGUGCCGCUAUUCUGUCGGCAUUGAACAAAUUAACAACGCCUCAGAUAAAAUUAAGUCAUUCUGUUAACCACAAUCCAUCAUUCAUUGUCGGCCAGCCGAAGCAUAAAGCCCAGCUUGAAUGAAAGGUGCUGUUAUUCAAUCGCACGUGCUCCCUAGACGUUACUACUCCAAUACACUCACUCAAAAGAAAGACAAGCUCAACUCAAUCCGAUCUCGAAAGGCAUCACCACAUCCGCAUUGCCUCCCCCCCGCAAAGAAAUCAGGGGGGUUCACGAGUAAGUCGUCGGGAUGCGGCAAAUUCAAUCAACGCAUUGAGAUUACUUCAGUACCAUCCAAAGCUUAACGAAACAGAGAAAUGGGUCUUUUAUCCGCGAGUAAUUUAACCGGGAAAAAGUGGGGAAAAGGCAAAUUUCACCGAGAGAGAGAGAGAGAGAAAGGGGGAGAGAGUACCGGAAGAAGAGGAAGAGCAUUUGACGGCAGCUCUGACGCGUGGCAGGGGAAGUAGGGUCGCGCCAGGAGCUCCAUGAAGCACUCCCACCUUCAUUCUUCUUCUUCUCUUUGGCUCUGCAAUCUCGGACAUGAACCUGCGGCUGCGUCCAUCGCCAUUUCUAAAUUCCUCGAAGUGGAUAAGAGACCCCCCCGGACGGGUGGCGACACGGUCCGAGCCAUUCAAUUCCGCGAUGCUCUCGAAUCUUUCGACUUCCGCUCGCCCUCACGAGUCACGUGACACUCACCCUCCUCGUUUCCCUCUCUAUUUUUUUACUUUUUAUUUUUUACCCUUGGGAACCGCCGGUUGGUAUUUUAACUUAGCCAUUGGUGUGAUUCUUGUGAAGCGUUUCAUCUUUCUCGGAAUGUCUUUGUUCUUUUUUUUUUUUUAAAGAAAUUAUUCGAGGUCUUUAUAUGUUACAAUUGUCAUCUUAUUCAUCAAAUGAUAUGAUUCGUUAAGGGUGCAUUUUUGGGAGAGUUUUGAAUUCAUUUCCCAAAAAAAUAAUUAUUUAUGGUUCAUUUAUUUAAAAUAAAUAUCGUUUGGUUCGAUGAAUAUAAAUAAAUAUAUAUUUAUUGCGGAAUAGCUUUGAAGUGAAAAUAAAAUAGGGACAAGAGAGGAAUACUCGUUGAACUAGAACCAGAGAAAAAGGGUAUUCUUUGCUUGCGACCAUCGUGGAAGCAGACCGGUUGAGGCAAAUCUAACCCUGGCAAUGAUUGACCCGUCGAAGAAGCCAAGCGAGACAACGUCGAGGGUCGCACGACCUCAACAAUCCAGAUCCUCGCAAAUCCAUGUUAUCGACGAUCAAGACCUACGAUGGACAACCGAACCUAGACCCUUGACGACCCUCGGCCAUCCUCAUUAACUUUGGGCAACCGUCGAGCCAAGCACAAUUGUCCGACUAGCAACCAGAUUUGGAGCUUAAACUCCAUUUGUUUUGCGAAAAAUAUUUUCUAGAAAAUGAAUUAGUUGGGGAAACCAUUUUUCAUGAAUGGAAAAAAAGUCUUCUAAGAUAGCGGAAAGUGGAAAACAUUUUCCCCAAUCACUUGCUCUUAUCUCAUACUCAUGUUAACCUUUUUAUCUUCUUUUUUUCUAAAUAAAAAAUUGAAUUUUUAAUUCUUUUUCCUUUCCUUUUUUUUUUUUGAGUUUUGUCUUGGUCAUUUACCAGCCACGACGAUCGUUGGCGACUGGCUACAAGCGAGCCUCGAGCUCGAGCCUAGCUUGCCACUUACCUGAUAGAUGGCGAGCCAAGCAAGUAGCGAGCUCGGGCCUCCUCAGAUAGGCGAGCACGAGCCUUUGGCUUGUAGAUCUAGCGAGCGGUGAGCUCUAGCUCGCUUGCCGACGUCGGGCGAGCUCAAGCUCGCCUUCAAUUGGUUGUCGAUCGUCAUCGUGGUCAGCAAUUAGUCGAAGAAGAGGCAGAAAAAAUAAAGAAAAGAAAAAGAAAAAAGAAAAAAGAAAUAAAAUAUAAAAUAGUUUAAAAAUCAAUUUUUAAAUAUAAAAAAUAAUUAAAUUAUAUUUUAAAAAUAAAAAUAAUAAAAAAUAUUGAAAAGGACCGCAUGAGAUAAAAAAUGUUCCUUACCGAACAGCGUAAAAUACCGAACACUAAAAAGUAAUUAUAUUUUUCUGAAAAAUGACUUUUUGGAAAAUAUUUUUCAAAAACGUCACAUUUUUUGCGAAACAAAUGGAGCCUUUAGAUAAGGAGAAGAUGAAUCCAAAUCCUGCAAACAAAGAACAUCUCCCGAUAACCUUUGACUUUGGGCUCAUGUUGACCGGAAUCCGGAGUGACUAGUAUUGAGGACGAAGAACACUAGAAAUGAGGGAAAUAUUGGCAUUUGAAAUAUUAUCUACUGAUCCUAAGAGAAAUUUUCGAGAACACUUUUUUGUCGGUCGAAAGAAAAUUUUCGAGAACGCUGAGAAGCCAAAGAAAGGACGAGUUGCCUUGGACUCUAAGCUUAGCCAAUGCUAGCUUUGAGUCAAAGUGAUCCAUAAAUUUGUUACCAAAACACUACAAUUUUCGCUGGAAAGACAUUGAAGACCUAAAGUCCCUUCCGAAGCCACACGCAGUCGAACCUUGUUUUGUUAAAAAUAUGGAAAAGAAAUUAAAAUAUUCGUGGAGCGAUUGAGGCAUCUAUCGUCAAUGCACGACUAUUGUAACCGAAAAAAAAAAAAAACAAUAGGUAAUAAAUUUUUAUGUUAGGUAUGCAAGAUCAAUAUAUAAAUGUAUGUUAAUGUGAUGUGAUCAAAUAUAGACAUAAGUGGACAUUCAAAUAACAAAAGCCCGUCCCAUCAAAUUAAUAUUAAUGAACCUAGCUUUAUUUGCUAGACAAUCGAGUCAGUUCUCUUCAUUGCCUUAUUCAAUCGUGUGGAGCCCAAUAUCGAGUGGGUAGAUCCCGAACUCGAGGAAUACCUAACUUAUUUCAUCGAUCAAGUAAGACAUAAGACGAAAUUCUGAUCGAUGGCCUAAGAUGCUCUAUUUGUCCCAAGAGAACAUCAUAUAAGUGGGAUCAAUUUUUCACACAUGCAUAAAGAGUACAAUACCGAUUUUCCCUCCUAACAUCGCAGGAAUGUUUCACUGUUUAUAUCUUCAAGGCAGUAGAAGCUGCGGUUUUCAUUUCGAGCAAAGCAUCCUCAAAGCACUUGGCCAGGAAAUCAGGGUCGGGGAUGAUGUCCUUGGCCACCAGAAUCUGCAUGUCCGCCCUCCCCGCAUAGCUCACCAUGUGCAUCGUGAGUGCCUGCAUAUACCGCAUCUCAAACACCCCACAUCAGUCCUGAUAAAGAUUUCAUUCCAGAUACCGCAGAAAAAGAAGGAAAAGAGAGACGAUGAGGCGCGAGUAUUUUGAAGCCUUACGUGGGGAAAACCAGAGGUGUUCACCCUCAUGUACGUGAUGGGGUUGCCCACGGACGCGAUCUCCUCGUGCGGGCCGAACACGUUCGAGACGCUGAACGUGGUGUUGCAGAAGAUCCUGUAGUUGAGCAGGGUCGCAGCCUGCAUCAGCAAAAACAAAUAUAGAUUGCGCGGUAGUCAGCAUAUUGUCGUUCUGUUUUCUGAAUUGCAGAAGCGCGAACUUAUCCUUACACGUGCUCCUAGAUAAGUCGUGGCCAUAUCCACGAUUUUGUAGGAGAAGUGAGCCUCCAGGGAUUUCUUCUUCCGGUCAAUCAUCGACUUGGCUUUUCUCACGUGUUCGAGAGGGUCGCCGCAGCUUCUGUGGUAGCGAACGGGGAGGAGGAGAAUCCCGAACUUGUUGCCCCACCGCAGUCCCGGGUCGCCUUCCAUCAAAUUGGUUAGUUCCUGGUUAAUACCAACACCACACUUCAAUUCAAUCAACUUCAGUUAAAAGGAAAAAAAAAAAAAUUUGAGACUCGCCUGCAAUCCCUGUUGUUCUCGCAAGUUAACAGCUGCCACUCCCGUUAGUCGAGUCCCUUCGCGCACAGCUUACAAAGGCAAAUGAGCAUUUUAGUCACUCGAGAUUCAUCGCCCUUGAAUUGACAAAAAUGGAGUGAAUCGUCGGAAAUGCUAUUCCGUUUUUACCGUUGGGACAUCGGUGGUCCAAGUAUUUGAAGAAGCCGGCCGAUAUGAUCCCGAAGAGAACAUCGUUAAUGGUCUGCAUUUGCAACAAUGAAUGAGAUUCAUCAUCUGGAAGCUGAGUACAUCAAAAUGCAUUUGUAAUAAUGAAAUACAAGAAAUCCCAGCUGAGAGAGUCGUGCACUCACCAGGGUCAGCCAACCCUGGGGGUCAUUCAAGCAAUCCCAGCCAGCCCUUGGAAUUGCCAACAAUGAUUAGGAUUACUUCAAUUUGUCAUAGUUGUACUAAUUUUGUUUUGUUUUGUUUUUUUUUUUUUGUGAACAAAAAUUAAUGCAUGGUACAAAUAUACCAGUUUAAAGUUUUUAGUAGUUAAAAAAUUCGUUUGGAUAAAGUUAUCAUAGUUUGAGGUUUUUUAGGCGAAAAAAUUGGUUUUUGAUAAAUUUGCCAUAAUUGUACUCAUUUGGAGUUCUUUGUAGUAUUAAUCCUUUUAAAUAUGAUUGUUUUGUGUUACUAAAAAAAAAUUAUAAACAUGACAUCUCUCCAUUACAUCAUUUAACUACGAUUUAUCAGCCCAUCAUACUUUUUUUUUAAUGAAAAUUUUAAUUUGAACACAAAUAUUAAUAGGGAUCACAUUGAAAAAAAAAAGAUUGUGCAUAAAGUAAAAAUUGAACAUAUUAGAAAAGGGGAUAUGUUUACUAAAAGUCUUAAAACUUGUCACGAAAGUGCAAUUGAAUUCUAAUACUUACAAAAAGUGCAAUCAAGUCCUAAAAUUCAUCAAAUUAGUAUAAUUGAGUAUUUAUGUUAACUUCGUCUAUUUAAACUAACAGAAAAUAAUGACGGGGCUUUUUUAAAUAUUUUUUUUCUCUUUUAUGUGGCGAUCACAUGACAAUAACAUAGAACACUAGGUUGAAACAAUGUCGUUUUGGAUUUAAUACUAAUUUUUUAGUCAUAAGCGUAAUUAAAUUAAAUAAAAAAUAUUUAUAAACAAGCACAAAUAAAAGAGCCAAGGCAAGGGUAGAGGUCCUUGCUGACGGCCACCCCGUCACUGGAAAGGGCCAAAUGGGCAGCUGCGGCAAGGGCCUACCGCCCUUGCCAAUAGCUUAAUUUUUUUUCUUUUUUUAAAUACUUUUUUAUUUAAUUUAAUUAAUAUUUGGGUUAAAUAAAUUAUAAUUUAAAUCACAUCAUUGCCACGUAGGAUGGAGAAAAUAUUAAAAAAGUCACGUUAGAUUUUCCAUUAGUCUAAAUAAAAGAAGUUAAAAGAAGAACUCGAUUAUAAUAAUUUAACAAGUUUUAAAACUUAAUUACACUUUUAUGAUAAGUUUUAGGACUUUUUGUGUACUUAUCUAGAAAAGUAUUGAAUAUGUGGUGCUAUUAUUCUUUUUGGGCGAUAAACAUGUAAAACUUUGGAACUGACCGCAUUUGCCACCGCCGACUUGACCACUUUCAUGUCCUCCAGCAAAAACUUCGCCGUGGCCAGCUUCCUCGGCCAGUGUUCCACCCCUGCGCCACCGCUCACCGGCGUCCUCCGAUCACUCAUCCACAUGCUCUGUAGCACGAACUCCACCACAAAGACCAAUGUGAACCACAUCACCCCCAACACCCCCACUACUGCCUUCCACCACUCGCCGCUGCCACCCUUCCUCCUCUUAGCUGAUGACGGAGGACCGAUUGUCGGCAGCGCCUCGGGGUCGUCCACCUGCCGGCACGAGGCCAGGAACAUUGACAUCAGCAAGAUCCCAUCGCCGAGUGCAUGGUGGAUCCGGAACACCAUGCACCGGUGGGCCAUCAGAAGGUGGACGUCCCACGGGGGCUUGUCGUCGCCUAGGAGCCCCGGUGAGUCAGUGGACAGGUCGCCGAGGUACUCGUUGACAGCUACCUCGUCAGAGAGGCCUUCGGCGAUGGGGCCGUGGACUGGGACGACAUGGCGGUUAAUGUCCACAUGGGUCCUCCUCCAAUGCUCUCGGCCUGCGGAGUCCCGCACCAUGAGGCUGCAGAACCUAGGGUGCGUAAACAUGGGGGAGCUCUGGAUCGCCGACUUGAGGGCCUCAACAUCGAGGGGUUGCGCCAUGCCGAUGGCGCUGUAGAUUACCUGGUUCAUCUCCUUCUGCAGGAACAGGCGUCCUCCCGGUGUCAGGGGCUCGUCGGAGCCGUUCUCCAGGGACCCCAUGCCUGCGUGAAGAUUGAAAAGGAGGGAAUCUUCAGUACGGUUGGGAUGGUGAGAAAAUAACAACAGUGCUGGCGGCUCGCACACGAAUCAGAAUCUAAAGGUGUAGUCUAUAAAUCGAAACUUUUGUCCGUGAGGUAGGAAAGGGGGAAGGAGUGCGAGAGUAUUGGAUUUGGAAUUUUCAGGCGAGGUUGCGCGAGGCUCUCUGGCAUUUGCUUGAGAAUAUGUUGGCUGCACCUGUUGAGAGAACUUAACUGGAAGAAGAGACGGGGAGAAAUGAUAUCCACGAGCGGUUUGUCUUCACG
rnacentral:lncRNA from 1 species